rnacentral:rRNA from 1 species
GACGAACGCUGGCGGCGUGCUUAACACAUGCAAGUCGAGCGGUAAGGCCCUUUCGGGGGUACACGAGCGGCGAACGGGUGAGUAACACGUGGGUGACCUGCCCUCAGCUCUGGGAUAAGCCUGGGAAACCGGGUCUAAUACUGGAUAUGACUCCAUGACGCAUGUUGGUGGGGUGGAAAGCCUUGUGCGGCUGAGGAUGGGCCCGCGGCCUAUCAGC